rnacentral:rRNA from 1 species
GAUGAACGCUGGCGGCGUGCCUAAUACAUGCAAGUCGAGCGAACAGACGAGGAGCUUGCUCCUCUGACGUUAGCGGCGGACGGGUGAGUAACACGUGGAUAACCUACCUAUAAGACUGGGAUAACUUCGGGAAACCGGAGCUAAUACCGGAUAAUAUAUUGAACCGCAUGGUUCAAUAGUGAAAGACGGUUUUGCUGUCACUUAUAGAUGGAUCCGCGCCGCAUUAGCUAGUUGGUAAGGUAACGGCUUACCAAGGCAACGAUGCGUAGCCGACCUGAGAGGGUGAUCGGCCACACUGGAACUGAGCCACGGUCCAGCCUCCUACGGGAGGCAGCAGUAGGGAAUCUUCCGCAAUGGGCGAAAGCCUGACGGAGCAACGCCGCGUGAGUGAUGAAGGUCUUCGGAUCGUAAAACUCUGUUAUUAGGGAAGAACAAAUGUGUAAGUAACUAUGCACGUCUUGACGGUACCUAAUCAGAAAGCCACGGCUAACUACGUG